rnacentral:misc_RNA from 1 species
CAACUUCCACUGGCUUACCUCCNUCAUUUAUGCGUCAUGACUUGUAUCGUCUUGAGCGUAUUGUGGGUUUCCUGUGUUGCAUACCUUUCUAAUGGUAUCGUGUUGAUUGAUCGAAGUCCCUUUUCAUCUUGUGUUGCUUUUUGCGACGCAUGAUGAACCUUGAGGCGGUCUCUAUGUUCCACCAUGUUGAUGCUACUGUUUCGAUGUUGUGGCCCAUUGAGCGUUGCUUGGUUUUGUGGAUACAGAACAUGAUUUGGGCAUAGGGUUACUUGUGACUCUUGUUCUGUCCUUUAUCAGUGUUCUUUAUAACGACGGUUCAUGCGCGCCUAGGCUCGUACCUGCGCGAUGUUCUUUGUCGAAGAGGAAUGCUACCUGGUUGAUCCUGCCAGUAGUCAUAUGCUUGUCUCAAAGAUUAAGCCAUGCAUGUGUAAGU